rnacentral:lncRNA from 1 species
UGAUCGCAAUCAUCUUCUUCCCCUUUUGAUCUGAAACGCGAUCCGUUAUGCAUAAAACACGACCCGAACAUACGAAAUGUUUUAUCUGAUGAUUAGACUCUGUUUUAAUGCCAAUUAAAUUGCAAUGAUGGAGAGUGAUGGUCUAGCAACAUAAUCGUUUCCUUUCAAACUCCAAUCGGUUGAUUAGGAUUCAAUUAUUCACACCAUUAAAACACUAUCAAGAACAUAUUUGGGUAUCUUUUAUUCCGCAAAUCACCAAACAAGGCCUAUACCAUACGAUUCUUCUGGCCAAACCAUGUAAAACCCCACUGAAAUUUCCUCGUUUUAUCAACUGUACAUCGCGAAUUGGAUCAAAGAACAUUCUAGGGCUCCAAACUUCACAUGGCGAUAUCAUCUUCAAUUCUUAACCUUUUUCAGGUUUUCAAAGUUGAUGAUCAAGUGAUGUGGACACGUAGCAUGGGCCUUAGGAAAAUAAAUUGAAAUCUUGAUAUGUUUGUUUUGAACAAUGUAUGAACAAUUUUGAUUAUUAUAUGUUAUGUGACUAUUUA